UUAAGCUACAAAGAGCGUAGGGUGAAUACCUUGGCACCAAGAGCCGAAGAAGGACGUGAUAAGCUGCGAAAAGCUUCGGGGAGGAGCAAAUAUCCAUUGAUCCAGAGAUAUCCGAAUGAGGAAACUCAUCUAGAGAAAAAAGUCUAGAUAUCCAUGCAUGAGUAAAGUAGUGUGUGAGAAGGGAACGUGGGGAACUGAAACAUCUUAGUACCCACAGGAAAAGAAAGAGAAAUCGAUUCCUAAAGUAGUGGCGAGCGAAAUAGGAAGAGCCCAAACCAUGAGUAGUAAUACACAUGGGGUUCGGACCACGAUAUGUUAUAAGUAAUUCUAGUAGAAAUGUUUUGGAAAAGCAUACCAUAGAAGGUGAAAGUCCAGUAUAUGAAAGGAAAGCUUAGACUAGUGGAAUCCAGAGUAGUACGAGACACGAGAAAUCUCGUAUGAAAGAGCGGGGACCAUCCCGUAAGGCUAAAUACUACUUGGUGACCGAUAGUGAACUAGUACCGUGAGGGAAAGGUGAAAAGAACCCCGGGAGGGGAGUGAAAUAGAACAUGAAACCCUAUGUUUACAAGCAGACAAAGCACAUUAAGGUGCGAUGUCGUACUUUUUGUAGAACGGUCCAGCGAGUUAUUGUAUAUGGCGAGGUUAAAUACUAUGUAAGGUAUGGAGCCGAAGAGAAAUCGAGUCUGAAAAGGGCGAAUUAAGUCAUAUAUAAUAGACCCGAAACUGAGUGACCUAUCCAUGGUCAGGAUGAAGCUAGAGUAAAAUCUAGUGGAGGUCCGAACUGAUUGUCGUUAAAAAGGCACCGGAUGAACUGUGGAUAGCGGAGAAAUUCCAAUCGAACUCGGAGAUAGCUGGUUCUCCUCGAAAUAGCUUUAGGGCUAGCCUUGAGGUUAAAGCAUAUGGGGGUAGAGCACUGAAUGAGGUAGGGGCCUAACCAGGUUACCAAACUCUAUCAAACUCCGAAUACCAUAUGUAAAUACUCAGGAGUCAGACUGCGGGAGCUAAGUUCCGUGGUCAAAAGGAAAACAGUCCAGACCGUCAAUUAAGGUCCCAAAGAUAUAGCUAAGUGGAAAACGAUGUGAUUUUGCGUAAACAACCAGGAUGUUGGCUCAGAAGCAGCCAUUCAUUUAAAGAGUGCGUAAUAGCUCACUGGUCGAGUGAAGUUGCGCGGAAAAUUACCGGGGCUAAGCUAUACACCGAAAUUGCGGAUUUGCAGUUGAAAGACACUGUAAGUGGUAGAGGAGCAUUCUGUAGUAGGACGAAGCAGUACCGAAAGGAGCUGUGGACGAGGCAGAAGAGAGAAUGCUGGAAUAAGUAGCGAGAGGAUGGUGAGAAUCCAUCCCGUCGAAAAUCUAAGGUUUCCUAGGGAAGGUUCGUCCGCCUAGGGUAAGUCGGGACCUAAGGAGAGGCCAAAAGGCGUAUCUGAUGGACAGCAGGUUGAAAUUCCUGCACUAUAGCUAUACUUAAAAGAUGCAAGGGACGCAGAAGUGGAAGAUAACCAUGGAAGAGGAAAGACAUGGCCCGCAAGGGGGAGUGAAACAAUAAGUAACGAAGUAUCAAGAAGCACGCUGACGAGAAAAGCUUGUAGACAUUGUAUAGAAAUACCCGUACCGCAAACCGACACAGGUAGAUGAGGAGAGGAUCCUAAGACGAGCGGGAGAAGCAUUGUUAAGGAACUCGGCAAAUUAACCCCGUAACUUCGGAAUAAGGGGUACUGAUGUAACAGUCAGUCGCAGAGAAAAGGCCCAAGCAACUGUUUAACAAAAACAUAGGUUUCUGCUAAAUCGAAAGAUGAAGUAUAGGAGCUGACGCCUGCCCAGUGCUGGAAGGUUAAGGGAAGAGGUUAGAUUAUAUCAAAGCUUCGAACUGAAGCCCCAGUGAACGGCGGCCGUAACUAUAACGGUCCUAAGGUAGCGAAAUUCCUUGUCAGGUAAGUUCUGACCCG
rnacentral:rRNA from 1 species